GCGAACGCGGCGAACUGAAACAUCUAAGUAGCUGCAGGAAAAUAAAUCAACCGAGAUUCCCAAAGUAGUGGCGAGCGAAAUGGGAAGAGCCUGUACGUGAUAGUCGGACUGAUAGAAGAAUCCUCUGGAAAUAGGAACCAUAGCGGGUGAUAGUCCCGUAUUCGAAAUCAGACCGGUGGUACUAAGCGUACGACAAGUAGGGCGGGACACGAGAAAUCCUGUCUGAAUAUGGGGGGACCAUCCUCCAAGGCUAAAUACUCGUAAUCGACCGAUAGUGAACCAGUACCGU
rnacentral:rRNA from 1 species